rnacentral:lncRNA from 1 species
AGGAACUCAAAGAUCGGUUUUCAGCUCUCUGCCCAUUACUAGGCAGCCAGUUGCUUCUGUUGGUUGUUCUUUAGUUCCUACAUGUUCUCAUGAUUUGGAACUGGAUCAGUUGGAAGGAGUGAGAGAUAUUCCUGUCGCCAUUUGCCAGCUCAGAGAAGCUGAUGGAUUGUCCAAGGUUCAUAGAAGUACGUCAUCGCUUGGGUCUGAUCUUUCAAGCCUUUGUGGACUGGACCAAGAAGAUGCGACUGACAAUUCUCUUUCUUAUAAUAACGAUGGUUCUAAAGUGACAAUGGAGCUUUUUAAGAACAGUUCCAUCAGUGAUAUACUUGAUUUGGAGCUAGAUCCGCUGGGCAGAAAAGAUUUUGCAGGGUUAAGACUGGACGUUCUGAGUUCUGAUAAACAAAUGGAGUCCCGAGGUACUGGAAGUGAGCACAUCAGUUUGAUCCAAAGUUACCAAGUCUUGGAGAAGCAAGAGGCUAAGAGUGUAGAAGUAAAUGCUGAUCCUCCCGUCACUCAUCAUUCUGGUACAGUGUUCUUUGAAGAUCAUGAAUGGGCACCUGCACAGUCAGCGCUUCAAGAUGAACAUGGUGAAAUCAACGAAGUUAACUCAGCUUUGACUGUU